GACAGAGGUGCCGAGCGUUAGGCGGAAUCACUGGGCUUAAAGCGUGUGUAGGCGGGCCGUUAAGCGCCCCGUGAAAUCCCCCGGCUCAACCGGGGAACGGCGGGGCGGACUGGCGGCCUUGAGGCACCCAGGGGUCAGCGGAACAGGCGGUGGAGCGGUGAAAUGCGUAGAUAUAGGAAGGAACACCAGUGGCGAAGGCGACCACCUGGACUGAUACUGACACUGAGGUGCGAAAGCGUGGGGAGCAAACAGG
rnacentral:rRNA from 1 species